rnacentral:rRNA from 1 species
UACAGAGGUCUCAAGCGUUGUUCGGAUUCAUUGGGCGUAAAGGGUGCGUAGGCGGCGCGGUAAGUCGGGUGUGAAAUCUUGGAGCUUAACUCCGAAACUGCACUCGAUACUGCUUUGCUCGAGGACUGGAGAGGAGAUUGGAAUUCACGGUGUAGCAGUGAAAUGCGUAGAUAUCGUGAGGAAGACCAGUGGCGAAGGCGGAUCUCUGGACAGUUCCUGACGCUGAGGCGCGAAGGCCAGGGGAGCAAACGGG